CCUACGGGAGGCAGCAGUGGGGAAUAUUGCACAAUGGGCGCAAGCCUGAUGCAGCCACGCCGCGUGUAUGAAGAAGGCCUUCGGGUUGUAAAGUACUUUCAGCGGGGAGGAAGGCGAUGUGGUUAAUAACCGCCUCGAUUGACGUUACCCGCAGAAGAAGCACCGGCUAACUCCGUGCCAGCAGCCGCGGUAAU
rnacentral:rRNA from 1 species